GGCGGCAGGCCUAACACAUGCAAGUCGAACGGUAACAGGAAGCAGCUUGCUGCUUYGCUGACGAGUGGCGGACGGGUGAGUAAUGUCUGGGAAACUGCCUGAUGGAGGGGGAUAACUACUGGAAACGGUGGCUAAUACCGCAUAACGUCGCAAGACCAAAGAGGGGGACCUUCGGGCCUCUUGCCAUCAGAUGUGCCCAGAUGGGAUUAGCUWGUUGGUGAGGUAACGGCUCACCAAGGCGACGAUCCCUAGCUGGUCUGAGAGGAUGACCAGCCACACUGGAACUGAGACACGGUCCAGACUCCUACGGGAGGCAGCAGUGGGGAAUAUUGCACAAUGGGCGCAAGCCUGAUGCAGCCAUGCCGCGUGUAUGAAGAAGGCCUUCGGGUUGUAAAGUACUUUCAGCGGGGAGGAAGGU
rnacentral:rRNA from 1 species